GACGAACGCUGGCGGCGUGCUUAACACAUGCAAGUCGAACGGAAAGGCCUGCUUUCCCUUGUGGAUUGCGGGUACUCGAGUGGCGAACGGGUGAGUAACACGUGAGUGAUCUUCCCCCAACUUGGGUAUAAGCCUGGGAAACUGGGUCUAAUUCCCGAUAGGACUGCAGGGUGGUGCCUGUGGUGGAAAACGAUUUUCUAGUGGUUGGGGAUGAGCUCGCGGCCUAUCAGCUUGUUGGUGGGGUAAUGGCCUACCAAGGCGGCGACGGGUAGCCGGCCUGAGAGGGUGGACGGCCACAUUGGGACUGAGAUAAGGCCCAGACUCCUACGGGAGGCAGCAGUGGGGAAUAUUGGCCAAUGGGCGGAAGCCUGAUGCAGCGACGCCGCGUGGGGGAUGACGGCCUUCGGGUUGUAAACUCCUUUCGACCGAGAGGAAGCCACCUGGUUGGAAGGGUGGUGACGGUAGUGGGAGAAGAAGCACCGGCUAACUACGUG
rnacentral:rRNA from 1 species